rnacentral:rRNA from 1 species
UACGGAGGGUGCAAGCGUUAUCCGGAUUCACUGGGUUUAAAGGGUGCGUAGGUGGGUUGGUAAGUCAGCGGUGAAAUCCCCGAGCUUAACUUGGGAACUGCCAUUGAUACUAUCAGUCUUGAAUAUUGUGGAGGUUAGCGGAAUAUGUCAUGUAGCGGUGAAAUGCUUAGAUAUGACAUAGAACACCAAUUGCGAAGGCAGCUGGCUACGCAUAUAUUGACACUGAGGCACGAAAGCGUGGGGAUCAAACAGG